AACGAACGCUGGCGGCAGGCUUAACACAUGCAAGUCGAACGCCCCGCCAGGGGAGUGGCCGACGGGUGCGUAACGCGUGGGAAUCUACCCAUCCCUACGGAAUAACGCAUGGAAACGUGUGCUAAUACCGUAUACGCCCUACGGGGGAAAGAUUUAUCGGGGAUGGAUGAGCCCGCGUUGGAUUAGCUAGUUGGUGGGGUAAAGGCCUACCAAGGCGGCGAUCCAUAGCUGGUCUGAGAGGAUGAUCAGCCACAUUGGGACUGAGACACGGCCCAAACUCCUACGGGAGGCAGCAGUGGGGAAUAUUGGACAAUGGGCGCAAGCCUGAUCCAGCCAUGCCGCGUGAGUGAUGAAGGCCUUAGGGUUGUAAAGCUCUUUCACCGGAGAAGAUAAUGACGGUAUCCGGAGAAGAAGCCCCGGCUAACUUCGUG
rnacentral:rRNA from 1 species